UGUGUGUGUGUGUGUGUGUCUGUGUGUAUACACACGUGUGUGUGUUUGUGUGUGCGUUUGCACACACACACACACACG